UUUGCACAAAUUAUACAUUACAACAAUCCUGCCGAGCGAGGGUAGGAAGUGUUUGGCUUUAUGGUUAACAUGACGGUUUACACAAACAAAGGGGUAAAGGCUCAACGGGGUUCACAAUGGAUGAAUACAACAUUAUGGAUGGCUAGAAAGGCUAAAAGGGUGAAAACAAACAACGUGCCUCAGUGUGCGUUUUUGUAUUGUGCUGUAUCAGUAGAACUUACGCAAAAUU
rnacentral:lncRNA from 1 species